CCUACGGGAGGCAGCAGUGGGGAAUAUUGGUCAAUGGAGGCAACUCUGACCCAGCAACGCCGCGUGAAUGAUGAAGGUCUUCGGAUUGUAAAGUUCUUUUCUAAGGGAAGAAGAAAGUGACGGUACCUUAGGAAUAAGCCUCUGCUAACUACGUGCCAGCAGCCGCGGUACGAAGGAGGAGGCAAGCGUUAGCCGGAAGUACUGGGCGUAAAGGGGGCGGAGGUGGUUUGACAAGGUCGUAGCGUAAUUCCGGAGCUCAACUUCAGAACUACUACCAAAACUGUUGGACUCGAGUGCAGGAGGGGCAAGUGGAAUUUGUGGUGUAGGGGUGGAAUGCGUAGAUAUUAAGAAGAACAC
rnacentral:rRNA from 1 species